rnacentral:sRNA from 1 species
AAGAGAAGUCUGUGACUCCAAUUAGCCAGUUCCAGCAGACCUUGUGAGGACUAGAGGAAGAAUGCUCCUGGCUGCUUUGUACUGCCUGCUGUGGAGUUUCCAGACCUCCACUGGCCAUUUCCCUCGAGCCUGUGUCUCCUCUAAGAACCUGAUGGAGAAGGAAUGCUGUCCACCGUGGAGCGGGGACAGGAGUCCCUGUGGCCAGCUUUCAGGCAGAGGUUCCUGUCAGAAUAUCCUUCUGUCCAAUGCACCGCUUGGGCCUCAAUUUCCCUUCACAGGGGUGGAUGACCGGGAGUCGUGGCCUUCCGUCUUUUAUAAUAGGACCUGCCAGUGCUCUGGCAACUUCAUGGGAUUCAACUGUGGAAACUGCAAGUUUGGCUUUUGGGGACCAAACUGCACAGAGAGACGACUCUUGGUGAGAAGAAACAUCUUCGAUUUGAGUGCCCCAGAGAAGGACAAAUUUUUUGCCUACCUCACUUUAGCAAAGCAUACCAUCAGCUCAGACUAUGUCAUCCCCAUAGGGACCUAUGGCCAAAUGAAAAAUGGAUCAACACCCAUGUUUAACGACAUCAAUAUUUAUGACCUCUUUGUCUGGAUGCAUUAUUAUGUGUCAAUGGAUGCACUGCUUGGGGGAUCUGAAAUCUGGAGAGACAUUGAUUUUGCCCAUGAAGCACCAGCUUUUCUGCCUUGGCAUAGACUCUUCUUGUUGCGGUGGGAACAAGAAAUCCAGAAGCUGACAGGAGAUGAAAACUUCACUAUUCCAUAUUGGGACUGGCGGGAUGCAGAAAAGUGUGACAUUUGCACAGAUGAGUACAUGGGAGGUCAGCACCCCACAAAUCCUAACUUACUCAGCCCAGCAUCAUUCUUCUCCUCUUGGCAGAUUGUCUGUAGCCGAUUGGAGGAGUACAACAGCCAUCAGUCUUUAUGCAAUGGAACGCCCGAGGGACCUUUACGGCGUAAUCCUGGAAACCAUGACAAAUCCAGAACCCCAAGGCUCCCCUCUUCAGCUGAUGUAGAAUUUUGCCUGAGUUUGACCCAAUAUGAAUCUGGUUCCAUGGAUAAAGCUGCCAAUUUCAGCUUUAGAAAUACACUGGAAGAGAUGGGAUUUCUCCAUAUUGGCUAGGCUGGUCUCAAACUCCUGACCUCAAGAGAUCCACCACGUUAGCCUCCCAAAAUGCUGGGAUUACAGGCUUGAGCCACCACACCUGGCCUAACUUCAAGGUAUCAAAGACAAAUUAACAAUGUCUGAUGCAUACAUAGGACUGCUUUGUAAUCUUCUACACUAAUGAUUUGUAGUAUUUUGGUUUCAGAAUCCAUUUAUAACUCUUACAAUAUAUGAAAAAUUUCUGCCAGCUUUUAUUUAUGUGGGUUAUAUUUAUGACUUCUCAUUUGUAAAACUGAAAUAAAAAGAUCUUGCAUAUUUGUAUUAAUUUAUUUUAAAAA